GCUCCUUUCUCGCCCUCCCCGACCCUGCAGCGUCUUUUCAGGUCGGGGUGGGAGGAAGGUUCUCGGC
ensembl:miRNA